UACAGAGGUCUCAAGCGUUGUUCGGAUUCAUUGGGCGUAAAGGGUGCGUAGGCGGCUUGUUGCGUCAGCUGUGAAAACCCGCAGCUCAACUGUGGGCUUGCAGCUGAUACGGGCAGGCUUGAGUUCGGUAGGGGAGACUGGAAUUCCUGGUGUAGCGGUGAAAUGCGUAGAUAUCGUAAGGAAGACCAGUGGCGAAGGCGGGUCUCUGGACAGUUCCUGACGCUGAGGGCACGAAGGC
rnacentral:rRNA from 1 species